rnacentral:rRNA from 1 species
UACAGAGGUCUCAAGCGUUGUUCGGAUUCAUUGGGCGUAAAGAGUGUGUAGGCGGUGCUCUAAGUUCGGUGUGAAAUCUCCCGGCUCAACUGGGAGGGUGCGCCGGAAACUGGGGUGCUGGAGCGCGGGAGAGGAAAGCGGAAUUCCUGGUGUAGCGGUGAAAUGCGUAGAUAUCAGGAGGAACACCGGCGGUGUAGACGGCUUACUGGACCAUAACUGACGCUGAGACACGAAAGCGUGGGUAGCAAACAGG